rnacentral:rRNA from 1 species
GACGAACGCUGGCGGCGUGCUUAACACAUGCAAGUCGAACGGAAAGGCCCUGCUUUUGUGGGGUGCUCGAGUGGCGAACGGGUGAGUAACACGUGAGUAACCUGCCCUUGACUUUGGGAUAACUUCAGGAAACUGGGGCUAAUACCGGAUAGGAGCUCCUGCUGCAUGGUGGGGGUUGGAAAGUUUCGGCGGUUGGGGAUGGACUCGCGGCUUAUCAGCUUGUUGGUGGGGUAGUGGCUUACCAAGGCUUUGACGGGUAGCCGGCCUGAGAGGGUGACCGGCACAAUGGGAACUGGGUUCCGGCCCAGCCUCCUACGGGAGCAAGAGGUGGGAAUAUUGCACAAUGGGCGGAAGCCUGAUGCAGCAACGCCGCGUGCGGGAUGACGGCCUUCGGGUUGUAAACCGCUUUCGCCUGUGACGAAGCGUGAGUGACGGUAAUGGGUAAAGAAGCACCGGCUAACUACGUG